UUUUUUUUACAUCGUCAUAUAAAAAACUGAUAACUUGAAAUGUGAAGUCUCAUUUUUAGGUGAUAUACAAUUGUAUUUUAGUAUAUGGUUUUGCUGCAUAAAAGCCUUGGAAACAUAUUUUAAAUUUUAAAACUGAUAACGUAAUUUAACUCAAACUGCUUCAAAUAGAAUAACAUUUAAUGAAUAAGAAGAGCAUUUGUAUGCAUAUACUGUGAACCUACAGAAGAAAACUUGAUCCCACAAAGAUAUAUGCACUAAAGAAAUGUAACAGAAGAAUACAUUAAGAAAAGUGAAUGUACUUCUGAAGGCUGCCAGUUUGAAGGGUGCCAGACUGAAAUGUUGGAGACUGAAGAUUUGUGUUUUUCCACAUAUCAGUUCUGCAAAUGAAUUUUGCUAAUCUGAAACACCAAGAAUGAUUGCCUUGUUUUUUCCAGAAAACUUUUCCCAACUUCUAAGGAAAAAGAUCUUGUAUGUACAGCAUGAGCAACGUCAGAAGAAGCCUCCUUGUACAGAUCUGCCAAUAUAUCUUAACCCUGUUGUGAAGGACCCACUCCUAGAGAUGAAGUGGUAGCUUAAUCUUCAUAGAUUGGCCUUUCGCAUCUUUGCUCUGAUAGAAAAACAGUAAUGCUCCUCUAGUCAGUUGUGAUGUUGGUUUUGUAACAUGGAUAUUUGUCCACUAGGCAAAGCACAGCAAAACGCCAUCAGAUACAAAGAAUUUUCCUCCUCCACUGAUAUGGCCCUGAUGUGAAUCAGUGACCUGGAAAUGAAAUGUCACACAGUUUAUUACCAGUUCCCUGAGCCUUCUAAUCCCACUAAGGAUCUAAUAAAAAUUAUUCCAAAACCUGUUGUUAAUUUGCCUUUUUCUUUAUAAUUAGCUCACUUGAUAUCAUUGACUGGGAUUUUUGGAUUUUCUCCUGCUUCGGCCACAAAGUGAUCACAGGAACUGGCAUAAGUUUCCAUCAGUACACCUCAUUUCCUGUAUUACAGAAUUGUCCAGGUGCAUUGAUUUUUUUCACCUUCCACCAUCAGCUACUGGCCACUGGAGAAGAUGAGUCAGGAUUUCAUUUUUCCAGUGGGCUUGUAAUGCUGAGAGCCUAUAGAUGUCUUUGGAACUGCAUAUUACCUGAUCCUGUAUUACUUUGUUACUGACGUGGUCAUAUGUUCCCGACUUCCACCAUACUCCAAUAGAGUAAUUCAGCUUUUUGCCUUUCUCUGACCAAGGUUGUGCAAGAUUACAUCCUGCAAUGUUAGCUGCACAGAUGUAUGAACAGUAUAUUACCCUUUCCUAUCAGCAGGUGGAGAGACAUAAAAUUGAGGAAGUCAUUCUUCAGACAUGAUUUCUCUUUUAAGAAGAAAGUAUCUAUUGCAGCAAUUUCCCUCAUACUUCAGCCUUUUUGCGACAUAUAUUGGAAAAAUGUUUCUCAUGAAGUCACUAAUAAUACUUACUUCAUUUAUUCAAUACAUUUUACAAAGACUAAUCCUCAGAACACCCCUCUGUUGUAGGUUGCUGACUCGCAUGUGAAUUUUUAUUGGAAGCUUGUCAGCAAUUUAUUUUCUUAUAGAAAGCAGAUCUGUUUAUAUCACCAAAUCUAUUAAGAAAAAGGGGGACAUUAAACUAGAGGUAUAACCUCUCUUGAUAAGCAAUGGUAGGACUAUCUUUAACAGCUCACUUUGAAUAUUAGAUGUGAAAUCCACUUCAGUCAUUUGGAAGCUGGUUCUUUUCCGGUCUUGGAUGAGCAUCAAAGCAGUUCCUCUGUUUUAUCAAUAAAUGGUGACUCAUGCUUUUCAUAGGCUUCCAUAGUGCCCUUCUAACUGUAAAGAAAGAAGGAAGUACUGUCAGAUUUCUCCAAAAUGUUUUCCUAAUGAUCUUCAGCUAGAUGGAAGGUCGCUUUUCUCUGAGGCAAACUAAGCCUUCUCUCUAUACAAUAGUUUGCUCUCUACAAUCUAUGAAACUUGUCUUAUCUCACUAAAGACCACAAAUUAUUCUUCAAUUUAUAUAGACUUCUAUUUAAUAAAAAAUAUUUGAGCCAAAUUCUGUUUUCUGUGUGUGGAAAUAGAAGACAUUUGACAAAUAUGUAUCUUGAUGUGCAGUCCAUUCGGAUUGCAUGUAAAAGUCCAUAUUCUCAUGCCAAGAGAAUGCAUCAUCUUAAUUCACAUUUGCUAUAGGUGGGGUAUAGAAAAGUGCAGAAAUGCCUUAAGGGCACAAGAAUUCAUCCUGCAGAACUUCUAAGCUCUGCAAGACAGUGCUGUAUAAAAGCUGUGAAAGUAUCAUUUCCAUUACAGCAUCUUGUUUUUAACAUGGGAAGAAUGUCCUUUCAAAGCAUUUUGAAGUCUCCUUCCUCUGAGGUUGUGAAACUUUUUUUUUUGAGUCUCGGAUAAGGCACAGUGUUUUCUCAUUUGAAUGCUAGAGGGCACUAUGGGUACACAAGUGAAACUGCCAAAAAUUGGAAGUAAUAUGCUGUCAUUUCAAACUUUUCCUGCUCAUACAAAUAUUUGCAGUUCUUGCAGAAGAUCGUGUCCAUCGCUACCAGAGCAACAGAAAUUCUAUUUUUGUGAAUGGACACUGGUUACACCUGCUUGUAUUUAGCAACAGAGGGUCCUGUGGCACCUUUAAGACUAACAGAAGUAU